rnacentral:lncRNA from 1 species
AGGAAAGAAAUCCAAAUUUGGAAGGUGACUUCUGGAGUAGCUGUUCAAGUUUGUUUCGUUGUGCAUAUGGAGCAUCUGUAGGAUAUAAAUUUAGGACACUGCACAUUAUUACAGAAGUUGACCACGGAAAUCAUGGGGUAUGUGAACAAAUACCUAAAAGAUGGGCAUGAUGGCUAUAGGAGGAUUUCACUCAAAUUAAAUAAGUUCAACUUUAACUGCUUGCUGUGGAAGAUAGAGCCAUUAAAUUUUGAAGGUAAAAU